rnacentral:lncRNA from 1 species
UUUCAAGUCAUUUUCAGAUUUCCUAUUUAUUUUCAUCGUUAGAUCUUUCUUAUAGUUUCCCCAAGUAAUUUAUGACUUAUUGAAACUGAUAUUUUGGUUACCUGGUGGUUUGUUUGUUUGUUAGAACUAUUUCCCUUCUUGAAAGUCUUCAUUCAUUCUAAAUGGUCAUCGAGAAAAUACUUUAGUAAAACAAUAUUGGAUGGA